rnacentral:rRNA from 1 species
GACGAACGCUGGCGGCGUGCUUAACACAUGCAAGUCGAACGGAAAGGCCCUGCUUUUGUGGGGUGCUCGAGUGGCGAACGGGUGAGUAACAUGUGAGUAACCUGCCCUUGACUUUGGGAUAACUUCAGGAAACUGGGGCUAAUACCGGAUAGGAGCUCCUGCUGCAUGGUGGGGGUUGGAAUGUUUCGGGGGUUGGGUAUGGACUGGCGGCUUGUCAGCUUGUUGGUGGGGUAGUGGCUUACCAAGGCUUUGACGGGUAGCCGGCCUGAGAGGGUGACCGGCCACAGUGGGACUGAGACACGGCCCAGACGCCUGCGGGAGGCAGCAGUGGGGAAUAGUGCACUAUGGGCGGAAGCCGGAUGCAGCGACGCCGCGUGCGGGAUGACGGCCUUCGGGUUGUAAACCGCGUUCGCCUGUGACGAAGCGUGAGUGACGGUAAUGGGUAAAGAAGCACCGGCUAACUACGUG